rnacentral:rRNA from 1 species
CGCUGGCGGCACGCCUAAUACAUGCAAGUCGAACGCAGUAGCAAUACUGAGUGGCAGACGGGUGAGUAUAAUGUGGGAAUCUGCCUUUUGGUUUGGAAUAACUUGGGGAAACUCGAGCUAAUACCGGAUAAGCCCUUACGGGGAAAGAUUUAUCGCCGAAAGAUGAGCCCGCACUUGAUUAGCUUGUUGGUGAGGUAAAAGCUCACCAAGGCAACGAUCAAUAGCUGUUCUUAGAGGAAGACCAGCCACAUUGGGACUGAGACACGGCCCAGACUCCUACGGGAGGCAGCAGUAGGGAAUCUUGCACAAUGGGGGAAACCCUGAUGCAGCGAUGCCGCGUGAGUGAAGAAGGCCUUUGGGUUGUAAAACUCUUUCGUCGGGGAAGAAAAUGACUGUACCCGAAUAAGAAGGUCCGGCUAACUUCGUGCCAGCAGCCGCGGUAAUACGAAGGGAUCUAGCGUAGUUCGGAAUUACUGGGCUUAAAGAGCUCGUAGGUGGUUAGAAAAGUUGAUGGUGAAAUCCCAAGGCUCAACCUUGGAACUGCCAUCAAAACUUUUUAGCUUGAGUGUGAUAGAGGAAAGUGGAAUUUCUAGUGUAGAGGUGAAAUUCGUAGAUAUUAGAAAGAACACCAAAAGCGAAGGCAACUUUCUGGAUCAUUACUGACACUGAGGAGCGAAAGCAUGGGUAGCGAAGAGGAUUAGAUACCCUCGUAGUCCAUGCUGUAAACGAUGUGUGCUAGACGUUGGAAAUUUAAUUUUCAGUGUCGCAGCAAAAGCGUUAAGCACACCGCCUGGGGAGUACGACCGCAAGC